rnacentral:tRNA from 1 species
GCCUGGGUGGCUCAGUCGGUUAAGCGUCUGACUUCAGCUCAGGUCAUGAUCUUGUGGUUCGUGGGUUCGAGCCCCACGUCGGGCU